ACUACUGCUACCAUUUUCCAUUUCUUCUUCCUCUUCCUCUUUGUCAUUUUUCUCAUGGAUUUCUAAAAAAGGACUUUUUUCCCAAAGUCAUUUUUUAGAAGUCCAUGAGAAAAAUGACAAAG